rnacentral:misc_RNA from 1 species
AACGCACAUUGCGCCUCUCGGUAUUCCGGGAGGCACGCCUGUUCGAGCGCCAUUACACACCCCAAGCUCGGCUUGAUGUUGGACGCUGUCUGUGAAAGGACAGGUCUGGAACGCGUGGGCGCCGCCGCCGGACCACGAGCGUAGCAAGACGCAAGUCAAAUCGCUCUGUGGGCUUACUCGGUGGACGGCCGUCUAGAUGCUGGGGUAACACCUGCGUCGAAAACACCUAACCACAAGUUUGGCCUCGGAUCAGGCGGGGAUACCCGCUGAACUUAA